rnacentral:rRNA from 1 species
UACGUAGGGUGCAAGCGUUGUCCGGAAUUAUUGGGCGUAAAGAGCUCGUAGGUGGCCUGUCGCGUCGGCUGUGAAAACUCGGGGCUCAACUCCGAGCUUGCAGUCGAUACGGGCAGGCUAGAGUUCGGCAGGGGAGACUGGAAUUCCUGGUGUAGCGGUGAAAUGCGUAGAUAUCGGGAGGAACACCAGUGGCGAAGGCGAGUCUCUGGGCUGUAUCUGACGCUGAUGCGCGAAAGCUAGGGGAGCAAACGGG